CAACACUCGGCUUCGUCCUUCUCGGCCCCCUCGCCACCCUCCCGCCAACCCCACUCCGUUGUGAUUGGUCACCUUCCGGUUGCCUUAUUAAGUCCUCCACAGUAGCCCCAUCAGUCCCUGGCAGUCUGGUCCCUGGAGCAGCUGGCCCUGGAUCACCUGGCCCUGGAUCACCUGCCCCUGGAUCACCUGCCCCUGAAUCACCUGCCCCUGGCAAAGUGGCCUCUUGAUUGCUCUCUCUGUCAUGUCCUUUUCAUCGCUCUUGAAAUCCACCUCAAUUUCUCCCUCAAUCUCUGCAACAAUUACAAGGU
ensembl:lncRNA